AUAAAGGAGUCAGGACAUGAGGUCAUUACAGAGAGUGAGCAGUAGUAUGAAGAAAAUAAAACUCAUAGAUGUGUGAAGAGUAAGUUGGGAGAGGUGGGGUAAUUCUACACUGGAUGGUCCUGAAGGUUUCUCCAAGGAGGAAGUGAAUGUAAACCCAUGUAGCCCAGCGCCUGGCAGGAGUUAAGAGCACCACAAAUGCUGUUCCAUUAAAAUAUGUAUAUAUACAAUUAUUUAUGUCUGGGACAGCCAGUGGAGUUUGCAAGCUGAUAUUCUGGCGUUACGAUCAUCUCCCCGGCCCUCUUUUCUUCAGCCUCCAAGCAAUGGAGAAAAACAGUAAAGCAAAGUACUUGGAGAGGUCUUUGUCGUUCUUCAGGAGGCUUCACAGGAAGAGGUUUCCUUCCCGGAUUCUGUGAUAUGCUGUGAUUCCCUGGGUGUAAACAGAAGGGAGUUGAAAUGGACUCAUUCGGUGAUCGUGAAGUGGGUCUUCCACUGUGGCUGCAAGAGCACUCAGGAUAUUGUCUCAUUUGUGAGGAGGGAGAGCCGAGAGGCAGAGAUGCCCAGGGAGACAUUGAGACCCACUCCUCCAGCCCUGUUUUGGUGAACGGCUCCAUUAUUUAGCCCAUAGAGGAGCCAGGAACCAUGGUGUCUGCGUGAGACUCUCUCUCUUGCAUUCAGGUGGUCACCGACAUCUCCAGGGUCUCCCCCUUUACUGUCUUACCCAUUCUGUUUUCUCUCUCUCCACCCCCACUGCUAUGGCCUCUUCUAGGCUUACGUCUACUCUCUCCCUCUGAUCCUCUAUAGGCUUCACUUGAAACUCUUUCCUCUAGUAGUUUUAAAAAUGUUAAGAUCUUUAGGGCAAAAACAAGGCCGCUUUCUCUUUUGCCUACUCUACAGUAGUGAUUCCUAAGUUAUGGACUGAGAACUCCUCGGAGCAACGGCUAAGGAAAUAUUGCAAGAGAUCCUUGGAUCUGUUGUCUGCGGAGUGGAUAAGUAAGUGCCUUAGUCUGUUUGGGCAGCUAUAACAAAGUACAUAGGCUGGGUGUCCAUAAACAACAGAAAUGUAUUUCUUAUAUUUGGGAUGCUGGAAGUCCAAGAUCAGUAUCAGCACGACGGGGUUCUGGGGCCCACGAUAGCAUUUUCAUCUAUAAGUGGGUCUUCGGCCUUGAGAAGGAAUCUUGGCCAUCACUGAGGUGAAGUACAGUGACGGAUGUGUUGGGGCACCUGGGUGGCUCAGUCCGUUCAGCGUUCCGACCCUUGAUAGUGGCUCAGAUCAUGAUCUCACGGUUUGGGAAUUGGAACCCAGCAUCUGGCUCUGUGCUGACAGGGUGGAGUCUGCUUGAAAUGCUCUCUCUCCUCCCCCCCUCUCUCUGCCCCUCCCCGACUCACACUUUGUUUCUUUCUCUCUCUCUCUCAAAAUAA